UACGUAGGGUCCGAGCGUUGUCCGGAAUUACUGGGCGUAAAGAGCUCGUAGGUGGUUUGUCGCGUUGUUCGUGAAAACUCACAGCUCAACUGUGGGCGUGCGGGCGAUACGGGCAGACUGGAGUACUGCAGGGGAGACUGGAAUUCCUGGUGUAGCGGUGGAAUGCGCAGAUAUCGAGAGGAACACCUGCGGCGAAGGCGGGUUGCUGGGCUGAUACUGACGCUGAGGCGCGAAAGCCAGGGGAGCGAACGGG
rnacentral:rRNA from 1 species